rnacentral:rRNA from 1 species
GAUGAACGCUAGCUACAGGCUUAACACAUGCAAGUCGAGGGGAAACGACAUCGAAAGCUUGCUUUUGGUGGGCGUCGACCGGCGCACGGGUGAGUAACGCGUAUCCAACCUGCCCACCACUUGGGGAUAACCUUGCGAAAGUAAGACUAAUACCCAAUGAUAUCCCACGAAGGCAUCCGAAUGGGAUUAAAGAUUUAUCGGUGAUGGAUGGGGAUGCGUCUGAUUAGCUUGUUGGCGGGGUAACGGCCCACCAAGGCAACGAUCAGUAGGGGUUCUGAGAGGAAGGUCCCCCACAUUGGAACUGAGACACGGUCCAAACUCCUACGGGAGGCAGCAGUGAGGAAUAUUGGUCAAUGGGCGAGAGCCUGAACCAGCCAAGUAGCGUGCAGGACGACGGCCCUAUGGGUUGUAAACUGCUUUUAUAAGGGAAUAAAGUGGGUCUCGUGAGACUUUUUGCAUGUACCUUAUGAAUAAGGACUGGCUAAUUCCGUG